CUGUCUAUUAAUAAUAUAUUUAACUUAUUAAAGAGGUGUAAUACAUCUAUGAUAAUAGAGACGAGAACAUAUAGAAUUCUAUAUAAAGUGUAUUAUAUAUCUAUACUAUCAUUCUGUUGGGGCGACAGAGUAGCAUAUAACCUAUUUUAAGUAAUACAUGAAGUUUUAUACAGACAGUAAAGAUUACUCUAGGGAUAACACCCUACUUAUAUAAUAAAUUGUGACCUCGAUGCCGGAGCCCCGCGCGGGUUCUUCUCAUGACCAAACCCCAUAUGAGGCGCUAGAAAUAACCCCCCUUGAGCAGCGUGAG
rnacentral:rRNA from 1 species